UCACGCCGGGCGGCCUCGCGACACCACGCGGGCGGGAGGGAGUUGUAGUCCGGCCGCCGCCCCGGACGGCGCGCCGGCUGGGGAUCGGGCCCCGCGGGACUAUAAGGUCCACAAUACACUGCGCGCCGGAAGCCCACCCCGAGGCCGCCUGGGAAACGCGGGCCCAGACAGGAGGAGCUGAGGGCCCACUUCCGGACUAGCCGCCGCUAGGCCUCCUGCGCUUCGAGAGCUUCGACCGCCGAGGUCACCGAGGGGCCACUCUCGCUCAUCCCCCAAAUUCUCGGGAGGCGAGACAGACGCGGCCCCCGCCGCCAGGGGGUCCCUGCUGGCAGGCUGUUGGCAGAGAGUGUCUGGAAGCGGAGAAAGGGGAGAGUUUAACGUGUGAUGACUCCUGGGAGAGACAGGGCGCCGCGCACGUCGCACCCUCGUUCGGCCGUGGUGGCGAGGACACAGCCCCGCACUCGGGCGUCUUCGAAGGCGGGUGCUGGCCCCUCACCCCGCCAGCGGGAGCCCUGCCUGGACCCUGCCGAGUCGGGAGGGCGGACGGAGCCCAGUGACUCCUGCCCGCUGUCCCCUCCGAGCAGGGGCUGAUCCGGGGGACCCCUCGCAGCUCUGAAGUUGUAGUCCCUCCCCUGCUUCCGACCGACAGCGUUGCUAGACAUAUUAAUUGGUCCCAUAAGCAUUUGAGCAACUCUCAUGCAGAAAUCAGCGCCGUGUCCAGAGACGGGAGAAGCACGGCGCCUGCUCUCAGCCCCCGGGUCUCGCCGAACCGGGCGAACCAGGGCCCGAGGGCUGUCGGGUGUAGAUGCGGCUCCCAUCGUUGAGGAUUCCUCAGGAUUUCCUUUCGGUUCACAGUCUACAACAGUCUUAAGAGUCUGUCACGGGCCCUCAGUACCUACAAGAUGCAACUCAAGCUCCUAAGCGCGACCCAGAAGCCCCUCCGUAAUGUGGAGGUUGCUCCCCUCUCCGGCUUCAACUGCCUCCCUUCCCUGCCCAGAGCCAGGUUAGCAGAUUCGGAGGUCCCCAGACGGUCCAUGCUGUGCCUAAAAUGCCUUUCUCUCCCUGCCAACCAUCCUUCAGCAGCACCUGCUCUUCCUGUUGGGUCACAGUCCCGCCUCCAGGCCAUCUGCCGCAGUCUGCUGACUUGAGUGGAGACACCCAGAAUGUCACCUGUUCAUCACUACUAGUGCACAGACACCUGGAAGAUUCACGGGCAGCGUGUAGAAACUGAGCUCCCACUGAGGGCACAACCUGAAUGAUGGGAGUUGAAAUUCCUGUGGGCCCCCAGAGAGCCCUGAUUGCUGGCAGAGAAGCAGCCAGCAGGAAAGGUGGGUCCUAGCUGGUGCUCAGAAAUCUCUGCCACUUCCCUUACUCCUCUGUUCAUUCAUUCUUACAGCAAAUAAUUGUGUGCACAGUCAGUACCAGGUACUCUCAGGCACCAGAGUCACAGCACUUAGUAAGACAAACACUUCCUGGUCUCAUGGAGUUUCCAGUCCAGCCGAAUAAACAACUAAGUAAC